ACUGAACGCUGGCGGCAGGCCUAACACAUGCAAGUCGAGCGGAUGAAGGGAGCUUGCUCCUGGAUUCAGCGGCGGACGGGUGAGUAAUGCCUAGGAAUCUGCCUGGUAGUGGGGGAUAACGUCCGGAAACGGGCGCUAAUACCGCAUACGUCCUGAGGGAGAAAGUGGGGGAUCUUCGGACCUCACGCUAUCAGAUGAGCCUAGGUCGGAUUAGCUAGUUGGUGGGGUAAAGGCCUACCAAGGCGACGAUCCGUAACUGGUCUGAGAGGAUGAUCAGUCACACUGGAACUGAGACACGGUCCAGACUCCUACGGGGGGCAGCAGUGGGGAAUAUUGGACAAUGGGCGAAAGCCUGAUCCAGCCAUGCCGCGUGUGUGAAGAAGGUCUUCGGAUUGUAAAGCACUUUAAGUUGGGAGGAAGGGCAGUAAGUUAAUACCUUGCUGUUUUGACGUUACCAACAGAAUAAGCACCGGCUAACUUCGUG
rnacentral:rRNA from 1 species